GAAAGGAUGCGCACACACCCCAGAAAGUGCAACCCUAACAAGUUCUGCCUCUACCAUCGUGACCACGGUCAUGACACGGAGGAAUGCAUUCAGCUUCGAGACGAGAUUGAGGAGCUCAUCAGACGAGGUCGGCUUGACAGAUUCAUUCGACGUCAGUCUGAAGGUAGGGAAGAUCGGUCAAGGGUCCUGCCAUAACUGGAGCCGC
rnacentral:lncRNA from 1 species